GACGAACGCUGGCGGCGUGCUUAACACAUGCAAGUCGAACGGAAAGGCCCUGCUUUUGUGGGGUGCUCGAGUGGCGAACGGGUGAGUAACACGUGAGUAACCUGCCCUGGACUUUGGGAUAACUUCAGGCAACUGGGGAUAAUACCUGAUAGGAGCUCCUGCUGCAUGGUGGGGGUUGGACAGUUUCGGCGGUUGGGGAUGGACUCGCGGCUUAUCAGCUUGUUGGUUGGGUAGUGGCUUACCAAGGCUUUGACGGGUAGCCGGCCUGAGAGGGUGACCGGCCUCAUGGGGACUGCGAUACGGCGCAGACUCCUACGGGAGGCAGCAGGGGAGAAUAUUGCACAAUGGGGGGAAGCCUGAUGCAGCGACGCCGCGUGCGGGAUGACGGCCUUCGGGUUGGAAACCGCUGUCGGCUGUGACGAAGCGUGAGUGACGGUAAUGGGUAAAGAAGCACCGGCUAACUACGUG
rnacentral:rRNA from 1 species